CGUGGUCUGAAUUCUUUGAUGAUCGAGAUUUGUUGGCAUGGAUUUCAAAUUGUUGGAUAUUAUUUUUUAGCUCUGCAUAAUUACGUUGGAGCACUUCCCGGUUAAAAGUUUACCUUGUGUCCAUAUCCGUGUCUACUCUGUGUUACUAUUUACAUCCUGGAACAGUUGUCAUUUGAUUGGACAACUAAAAUUCAGAAUUAGUAUAAAUAGAUGGUCAAUUUCUAGGGUUGCAAGUUAUAUCAACAAGAAUGUCGCCACCUAGUAUAGAUCUACAGCAUAAAUCGGUGUCUAGUUUCCAACCGACAACAGUCCAAAUGGAAAGUGUUCAUCCCAAGAAAAAUAAUAAGAAAUGUUUAUAUAUAAUAAUUACUACUUUGGUUGCUACAGUUGUUGUAUCGGCUAUUGUGUUUGGUGCCAUAGCAUGGCAUUACCAUUUAUUUACUAAAGAGAAGUUUGAUACCCUGACAAAUAUUGAUGGUCGUGUAAUACCUGAACACGUAAAAGUUGAUUUCGUCAAUAAAAUAAUUUUUGUUAACAAUGAAAGAAAUGGAGAUAUCGAUAAACUCAGUGCUUUACAUAAUUACGAUCGAAAAAUGAUAGCUUUUAAAGAUUUGACUAAUGGUAGAUGCUAUAUUGAUCGUCAUGAUGAAACUUUUGAGGAGGGUCUUAAAUCAUGGACUGGUCGUGAGGGCAAGGAAAGGGUUCCACCAAACCGAUAUUUCCGCUACAUCCAGGAACCUAUUGACAGUGACGUUUUAAGAACAUUUGCAGGUCAACAUAUUGUUGACCACUGUGCUGACGUACCAACACAUUGGAUUGUUGAUAUUGACACUAAAGACAUACCAAACGCAGAAGAGUUCACCAACAAAACCGUUCAGUUUAUUUGUGGGCCAAGAAAUAUUUGUACCAAAUGUCCAAUCAUAUUUCGGCCAGGUCCUCCACCAACGUUUCCCGAAGAGGUGCUAGCAUGAUACGUCAUUUGGUGAAGAAUUUCUGGUGAAAUAUGAAUUUUGAUGAAGAGUUUUGUGUAUAAGGCGGCUUGUGAUAAAAAAGACUUUCUCGGCUUGUGAUAUUUUAUUAUUAUUAUGUAGACAAUUUUCACUCGUCAAAUAAUUUUAGUCGUAGAAUCAUUUGUAUACAUUUAUAAAUACAUGGAAAAUAAUUUUCCAAAAAUCCUCUGAAUAAAUUGUUUUAAAAAAUA